rnacentral:rRNA from 1 species
CCGGCAUCUUAGUGGCGGACGGGUGAGUAACGCGUGGGUAACCUGCCUUAUACAGGGGGAUAACACUUAGAAAUAGGUGCUAAUACCGCAUAAGCGCACGGGGCUGCAUGGCCCAGUGUGAAAAACUCCGGUGGUAUAAGAUGGACCCGCGUCUGAUUAGCUUGUUGGCGGGGUAACGGCCCACCAAGGCGACGAUCAGUAGCCGGCCUGAGAGGGUGGACGGCCACAUUGGGACUGAGACACGGCCCAAACUCCUACGGAAGGCAGCAG